rnacentral:RNase_P_RNA from 1 species
UGUGGCAGUUGGUUGGUCGCCGUGGUUGAUUGUGACUACGGAGGAAAGUCCGGGCUUCAUGUAGGCGUGGCGCCGGAUAACGUCCGGCGUUGUGGAUCGCGAGGUCCACGAUAGGGAAAGUGCAACAGAAAGUAUACCGCCUCGUAUGAGGUAAGGGUGAAAUGGUGUAGGUAAGAGCUCACCGCGUAUGUGGUAACAGAUACGGCAUGGCAAACCCCGCCUGAAGCAAGACCAAAUAGGAGUGAUACGAAUCCUUGAGAUUCACGAUUGCCUAUGAUCGAUUACUCGGGUAGGUUGCUAGAGCUUGCGGGUAACCGUAAGCCAAGAUGAAUGACCAAUCAGAAUGGUAACACCAUUCGGACAGAACCCGGCUUAUAGGCUGUCACGCACG